AUACGGAAGGUGCAAGCGUUAAUCGGAAUCACUGGGCGUAAAGCGCUCGUAGGUGGCUUUGUAAGUCAGGGGUGAAAUCCCGCAGCUCAACUGCGGAAUUGCCCUUGAUACUGCUGGACUUGAGUUCGGGAGAGGGUGGCGGAAUUCCAGGUGUAGGAGUGAAAUCCGUAGAGAUCUGGAGGAACACCAGUGGCGAAGGCGACUACCUGGACCGAUACUGACACUGAGGAGCGAAAGCGUGGGGAGC
rnacentral:rRNA from 1 species